rnacentral:rRNA from 1 species
UAUGUGAUCGUCUCUCGCAUAUCAAUAAGCGGAGGAAAAGAAACUAACAAGGAUUCCCCUAGUAACGGCGAGUGAAGCGGGAAGAGCUCAAAUUUGAAAUCUUAAAGGGUUUCCCUUUACGAAUUGUAGUUUAAAGAAGUGUUUUCUGUUGGGGUUUUGGUAAAAGUUCUUUGGAAUAGGACAUCAUAGAGGGUGUGAAUCCCGUAUUUGACCUUUACUUUCAACUUUGUGAUACACUUUCAAAGAGUCGGAUUGUUUGGGAAUGCAGUCCAAAAUGGGUGGUAAAUUUCAUCUAAAGCUAAAUAUUGGCGAGAGACCGAUAGCGAACAAGUACCGUGAGGGAAAGAUGAAAAGAACUUUGAAAAGAGAGUUAAACAGUACGUGAAAUUGUCAAAAGGGAAGCGUUUGACACCAGUGCUGUUUUUCUGAAAAUCAAUUAAAGAACUGUUUAUGCUAAGCUGUUUAGACUUUAUCAGCUAUCUGUUUAGUUUUGAGCUUUUCUUUAAUGCACUUUUCAGUUAACAAGUCAACAUCAAUUUCUUUUGCCUGUAAAAAAGCUUGAGGAAGGUGGCUUGAGAUUCGUCUUAAGUGUUUAUAGCCUCUUGCCUAUGCAGUCGGAGAGAUUGAGGUCUGCAGCGUAGAUCCUUCGGGGCUAAAUGCAUUUGUGCUAAGUUAUAGCAUUUUAUAGACAACUUGUUGACUAUGAUUUGUCUUGUAGCUUACUCGCUUAUGUUAUUUUACCUACGCUUAGGAUGUUGACGCGCGUGUGUGCGUG